UUCUUGCUUCUUCUGUAACAUCAUGGCCCCUGCCUCUUUGGAUACUCUAAGAUGUCAAAUCGACUGAGGAUGACUCCUGAGGACCCUUUGAGAUGAUUACCAUCGUUGUAGGUGGAACCAGAAAAGAGAAAAUUUCUGUUCUUCUGAUCAUUUGUCAAAUUCAGCUCGAAACAGGAUCUUGAGUACAGAACAUUUUUCCUGGUUGCUGCAUAGCUCAGUUAAUCUGUAUAUCAUGGGAGUGUGUUAUUGAGAGCAUUUGCAGAAGGGUGGAACCAGGAGCUCAUGGCUCAAGCAGGAAAAUGUUUCAUUAUUUGCAGAGCAAGAGAAUGAAACUCCUGAGACCUGAAUUUCAGGGCUCCUUGAAAUGAUGGAUGCAUUCUUUUAACUUGGUGGAGAAAAAGAACAUAAUAAAUUCGAGAAAAUA
rnacentral:lncRNA from 1 species